rnacentral:rRNA from 1 species
UACGUAGGGGGCAAGCGUUGUCCGGAUUUAUUGGGCGUAAAGAGCUCGUAGGUGGUUCGGUAAGUCGGAUGUGAAAUCUCCAGGCUCAACCUGGAGGGGUCAUUCGAUACUGCCGUGACUAGAGUUCGGUAGGGGAGUGUGGAAUUCCUGGUGGAGCGGUGAAAUGCGCAGAUAUCAGGAGGAACACCCGUAGCGAAGGCGGCACUCUGGGCCGAUACUGACGCUGAGGAGCGAAAGCGUGGGGAGCGAACAGGAUUAGAACCUUACCUAGUCAGUCCAA